GUGAAUCAUCGAAUUUUUGAACGCAAAUUGCACUCUCUUCGGAGAGUAUGCCUGUUUGAGGGUCAGUAUUAAAAAAAAUCGCUUAGUUGCUUUUUUGUGAUGCCCCGGAGUUUGGGUUAGUUUAUUAUACUCUAGGUUUUAUGAGGCUUAAAAUUGAUUUUUUUAGCGUUUUAUAGAUGUACAUAAAUUUUUUUUUUUAUACGUCUGACUUAAUGCAUAAAAUUUUAUUAUAUCCGUCCA
rnacentral:misc_RNA from 1 species